rnacentral:ncRNA from 1 species
ACGAGGAAGGGCGUAGUAAGCGACGAAAUGCUUCGGGGAGUUGAAAAUAAGCGUAGAUCCGGAGAUUCCCGAAUAGGUUAACCUUUUGAACUGCUGCUGAAUCCAUGGGCAGGCAAGAGACAACCUGGCGAACUGAAACAUCUUAGUAGCCAGAGGAAAAGAAAGCAAAGGU